ensembl:lncRNA GBA1LP glucosylceramidase beta 1 like, pseudogene
AUCACAUGACCCAUCCACAUUGGGAAGCCAGAAUUACUUGCAGGAGUAACCUAGUGCCUAUAGCUAUGGCAGGUGCCUUCAGCCGCUACAAGAGCAGAAGCAGUGGGCAUUGGAUGGAGCUGAGUACAGGACCAUACAGGCUAAUUGCACCGGCACAGGAAUCGGAUAUAACAUCAUCUGGGUACCCAUGGCCAGCUGUGACUUCUCCAUCCGCACCUACACCUAUGCAGACACCCCUGAUGAUUUCCAGUUGCACAACUUCAGCCUCCCAGAGGAAGAUACCAAGCUCAAGAUACCCCUGAUUCACCGAGCCCUGCAGUUGGCCCAGCGUCCCGUUUCACUCCUUGCCAGCCCCUGGACAUCACCCACUCGGCUCAAGACCAGGGGAGCGGGGAAUGGGAAGGGGCCACUCAAGGGACAGCCCAGAGACAUCUACCACCAGACCUGGGCCAGAUACAUUGUGAAGUUCCUGGAUGCCUAUGCUGAGCACAAGUUACAGUUCUGGGCAGUGACAGCUGAAAAUGAGCCUUCUGCUGGGCUGUUGAGUGGAUACCCCUUCCAGUGCCUGGGCUUCACCCCUGAACAUCAGCGAGACUUCAUUGCCCGUGACCUAGGUCCUACCCUUGCCAACGGUACUCACCACAAUGUCCGCCUACUCAUGCUGGAUGACCAACGCUUGCUGCUGCCCCACUGGGCAAAGGUGGUACUGACAGACCCAGAAGCAGCUAAGUAUGUUCAUGGUAUUGCUGUACAUUGGUACCUGGACUUUCUGGCUCCAGCCAAAGCCACCCUAAGGGAGACACACCACCUGUUCCCCAACACCAUGCUCUUUGCCUCAGAGGCCUGUGUGGGUUCCAAGUUCUGGGAGCAGAGUGUGCGGCUAGGCUCCUGGGAUCGAGGGAUGCAGUACAGCCACAGCAUCAUCACAAACCUCCUGUACCAUGUGGUCGGCUGGACCGACUGGAACCCAUCAUUGUAGACAUCACCAAGCACACGUUUUACAAACAGCCCAUGUUCUACCACCUUGGCCACUUCAGCAAGUUCAUUCCUGAGGGCUCCCAGAGAGUGGGGCUGGUUGCCAGUCAGAAGAACGACCCGGACGCAGUGGCACUGAUGCAUCCCGAUGGCUCUGCUGUUGUGGUCGUGCUAAACCGCUCCUCUAAGGAUGUGCCUCUUACCAUCAAGGAUCCUGCUGUGGGCUUCCUGGAGACAAUCUCACCUGGCUACUCCAUUCACACCUACCUGUGGCGUCGCCAGUGAUGGAGCAGAUACUCAAGGAGGCACUGGGCUCAGCCUGGGCAUUAAAGGGACAGAGUCAGCUCACACGCUGUCUGUGACUAAAGAGGGCACAGCAGGGCCAGUGUGAGCUUACAGCGACGUAAGCCCAGGGGCAAUGGUUUGGGUGACUCACUUUCCCCUCUAGGUGGUGCCAGGGGCUGGAGGCCCCUAGAAAAAGAUCAGUAAGCCCCAGUGUCCCCCCAGCCCCCAUGCUUAUGUGAACAUGCGCUGUGUGCUGCUUGCUUUGGAAACUGGGCCUGGGUCCAGGCCUAGGGUGAGCUCACUGUCCGUACAAACACAAGAUCAGGGCUGAGGGUAAGGAAAAGAAGAGACUAGGAAAGCUGGGCCCAAAACUGGAGACUGUUUGUCUUUCCUGGAGAUGCAGAACUGGGCCCGUGGAGCAGCAGUGUCAGCAUCAGGGCGGAAGCCUUAAAGCAGCAGCGGGUGUGCCCAGGCACCCAGAUGAUUCCUAUGGCACCAGCCAGGAAAAAUGGCAGCUCUUAAAGGAGAAAAUGUUUGAGCCCA